ensembl:lncRNA
UUUUUUUUUUUUUUUUUUUGCCUGCCAUGAGUUAUGGAAACAAAAGGGAGGAAAUAUAGUCUGAUUGCAGCAAUGCUGCAAGGCUUCUCGGGGGAGGUGGGGUUUGCAGUGCCUCUUUCUCCCUUUUUUUUUUUUUUUUUUUUGGAGGUGGAGUUUCGCUCUUGUUGCCCAGGCUGGAGUGCAAUGGCUCAAUCUUGGGUCACCGCAACCUCCGCCUUCUGGGUUCAAACUGUUCUCGUGUCUCAGCCUCCCGAGUAGCUGGGGUUACAGGCAUGCACCACCAUGCCCAGCUAAUUUUGUAUUUUUAGUAGAGACGGGGUUUCUCCAUUUUGGUCAGGCUGGUCUUGAACUCCUGACCUCAGGUGAUCCGCCCGUGUUCCCCUCCCAAAGUGCUGGGAUUACAGGCGUGAGCCACUGCGCCCGGCCUGCAGUGGAGGGAGUGUUGCCUGGAACCUGUUCGAGAAUAUCUGUCGCAUUUUCCUCCCCAGGGAGGGAAGGAACAUCUGUUCUCACCAAGGCAUGGGAAGUAGAGUGAAGACGACACUGAAGGACUCCUGUGUGUGCUGUAAAUGUCAUUCCUUUUCUGCUCUGACGUGCUCAUUCCCUCCUGAUAACGUCAGACAGAAGUGCCCAGUGCAGGCGCUGAGGGAAUGGUCUGUGUUAAAUGUAGAGGUUCCACAGGGCCUGUGGGUGGUCUGGUUCCUAAGUGUGCAUGAGCCUCGGCAGCUGGGGCUUGGCCCAGGUGUAGACGUGGUCACCCAUGCAGUGGGAUUCAGGGAGGCGAGCCCAGCCCGUGCCAUGCCACCACCCUCGGCUCCACUGUGGCUUGACAGUCUCCUGGACUGCUCUCUCCCCCAGGUCAGAGUCCCAACCGGGGAGCAGGGUGAACACGGAUGGCCAGCCUUCAGGGCCAUCCCACCCUUUCCAGGACUCUGUGCGGGAGGUCUGAGUGGGACAAGGCGUGUCGUUUCGUUUCCUGGGACUCAUAGGUGCAGAGUCUCAUGCUUCAUCCAGACCUCCUGAACAGAAACUGGGGGGCCCACUGGAUGGGGCCAGUGGCCUGUGUGCUAAGAAGCGUUCCCGUGAGGUUGGAGAGCACCGUUUUAGCAGCAGGUCAUGCCAUUCCAAGUGCCACGGAGCAGCAGCAUCACCAAGUGCUCCAGCAGAUGCCCAGAGCCGCGGUUUAAAGGACGUCCUUGGUCCUCGGGGGAUGCUGGAAGCCUGCCUGAAUGUAGAGAAGCAUUUGAUCCCUGGAAAAUCAAUCAAGUGUCAAUGCCUUUAAAAAGAUUAUGGGACCAAAUCCUGUGUUACUUCUGGCUGGAGAUCAGAAGAUCAGGCUGAGACUCCCUGACUCUCCAGAGGCCAGACACAUCACUCAGGCCCUGUGCUGACAGCUCUCACGAAGACAGAAGUCUCUGGUCCAAGAGCCUGAGCUGACGGGGUGGGAAUGCCAGCAGGCUGUAGUUACUCCUUGCUGAGGAUGGCAGUCCAGCCCUGCAGAGGCUGGGAGAGGCCAGAGGCCUGCACAGGUCUGUGCUGACCAGCCUUUCCUUCACCCAGGCGAAGGCCACAGCUGAGGUCUGAAGUGUUAGAGGAGGAGGUGGGAGGGCCAGGCCAAGGGCCCCCCGUGCACAGGUCCCCUGCACAGCAGGCUGGCCUCACAGGGGAAGAGCGCAGGGCUGCUGCUGUGCCUCCACAAGCUCAAUGCAGCCCCGCAGAGGCGUUGCCCUCCUGACCAGCUGUUUUCGUUGCUGAGAUCUCAAGAUGAUCCAACUCUCUGAUCCCCCUAAACUACCUUGUAUCGCCAUUGUUUUAGCUACGAAUCAUAACCAUGUAAAUUUAAUGAAAGUUUAACCUGAGUCCUGCUUAUUGCAGCCAUGGCGAGUCCCACUCAGACCUAGAGUCUGCAGGAAUCACAGUGAAAUCUGGAUUAGGAAGGACUUUAUGGAAAAGGUAAGGUUUAAAAUCCCGGACCCAGUUUGGAGGUCUCCAGAGACCUAGAGCUACGGACCCCAGGGGCUGAGAGGCUGUUGUUCAGGCCGGCGGCCGCACGGUGGCGAUGUUGCGCUGUUCCAGGGCGUGGGCGCUCACGGGUGGGGCGGGGUGGCUGGGGCCGUCUGUUGUGUUCUUGCGGCUGCCUUCUGCCGCUUCCCAGUCACCUUUCAGGUAGUGAAAUCGGUGCCUGGCUCAGGGUGAGCAUCGAAGAGGUCCCCAGCCUGAAGCCUUUCCUGGCCAGCCCUUCAGACCCUUUAGUGUCCCCACCUCCAGUCUAUAGCCAGGACCUGCUGGCUCUGGCACUGGGGACUGGAGGAGGACAAAUCCUCAGGGCAGGCUCUGAAAAUGGCUUUGGAGACUGAGGAGGACAGAGUGGUGACCUGUGGGCCGAGAUGGGUGCCAUCUCUAAGUGGAACUUUAUCCCAUGAGACACAACCGGCCGGCCCCAGAGACAACUGUGCAGGGCCAUUUAAAAACCACACAUGUGGGCAUGUCUGUCCAUACACAUGUACACAGGUAUUCUGGG